rnacentral:rRNA from 1 species
UACCGGUCGCGGACACAGAGAUGUGUCUUCAGUCGGCUCGGACCGGAUACAGGUGCUGCAUGGCUGUCGUCAGCUCGUGUCGUGAGAUGGUUGGGUUAACGUCCCGCAACGAGCGCCAACCCUCCGCCUUUAGUUGCCAGCUAUUUAGGUUGGGCACUCGUAAGGGACUGCCGGUGAUAAGCCGAGAGGAAGGUGGGGAUGACGUCAAGUCCUCAUGGCCCUUACGGGCUGGGCUACACACGUGCUACAAUGGUGGUGACAGUGGGCAGCGAGCACGCGAGUGUGAGCUAAUCUCCAAAAGCCAUCUCAGUUCGGAUUGCACUCUGCAACUCGAGUGCAUGAAGUUGGAAUCGCUAGUAAUCGCGGAUCAGCAUGCCGCGGUGAAUACGUUCCCGGGCCUU